GUGAAGGAAGCUGUGAUGCUGUGGUAUGAGAAAGAUGAGACACACGUUGAGGGAAGAUCAUUUUCUACAUUACCUUCAGCCAUCCAAGCUAGCAGGAUUCCCUGUAACUCCUGUUGAGUGUGAAGAUGAAGACUAAAUGCUGACUAAAGACAGACUCCAGAUUUACUGGGUCUUCCUGUAAAUGGGACAGGGAAUCUUUUUUCUUGGCCCAGCCAGACUCCAUGUGGGCUACAGCAGGACCUCACCAGGUGAAAACAGGAUACAAGGCAUUUCUGACAGACUAUGGACUCGAGUCAUCAUCGAUCCAAGGUGGAGUCGCUGUGGUUGCCUCUCAGAACAUCGAAUUGACCUGGCUGCAGCUCACCAGUUCAGUGUCGCGACCCCUGUGGCCUCUGUCGCAGCAGGUGCCUUUGCUCAGACGUGAAACUGAGCCGCAGUGUUAAGGAUACACAGGGAUGUGAUACUGUUGAGGCAAUAGUAGUACAUGGGCGUAUUUGUGUUGCUGACAGUUUCAUACCCUCCAAAUUCAGCAGACCGUAAUGCAUACUGUUGUCCUGACAAAAAAGAUAUACUGUAUGCUCAGAUUGAAUUUAAGCACAUUUUGCUGUCUGUUUGAGGAUAUGAGACCCAGUUCAGAUGUCCAUCCAUCACCUCACUGCGUGACGUGUGGCACAGGUCUUGUGUGUGAUCCUUUUGAACACGGUAUCAAGUGAACACUAACUUGCAGCUGUGGAGAAUGGGGAGACGUGGUGUGGAGAAACGUGCCAGAGUCAUAAUCUGCUGUCUCACUUAGCAAGAAGCGUUCCCUCCUCAGACGGACCUGUUGGGCCAUUUCGGCAGCUUGUAAACACAGCUCAGUCUGCGUGUAAGCUGUCAUUUCAGCUCCAUGCUAUCUGCUUUAUAACACCUUUGAAAAUGGCAGUGAUGGCUGGAAAAAAAAAUCAACAAUUGGCACUGAGCUGUGCUAUGCUGUGUUGGGCAAAAACAAAAGCAACGAGCUGAGAAACAAGAAAUAACAACAGGGGAGUUCUGAAUGAUCUGAAAGGCAGCGUAAACAAGUCCAACUGCACUGAAUUAAAAAUAAAGUUCAACAUAAUCACUGA